GACGUAGGGCGCGAGCGUUGUCCGGAUUUAUUGGGUGUAAAGAGCUCGUAGGCGGCUUGUCGCGUCGAAUGUGAAAUCUCAGGGCUCAACUCUGACAUUGCAUUCGAUACGGGCAGGCUAGAGUUCGGUAGGGGAGACUGGAAUUCCUGGUGUAGCGGUGGAAUGCGCAGAUAUCAGGAGGAACACCGGUGGCGAAGGCGGGUCUCUGGGCCGACAUUGACGCUGAGGAGCGAAAGCGUGGGGAGCGAACAGG
rnacentral:rRNA from 1 species